GCAAAGUUUUAUCCUAGCUUGUUCUUUCACUUUUAGGUCAAUGGUACAUGUAAGUUUUUAGUGAGCCAAUAAAAUUUAUGUAAACUAGAGGAAUGUAAAUAACGUUAAAGGUAGGGGCACCAUUAAAUAAUAAAUUCUCAGUACCUAGUACUAAUUAAAUAAAUGUAAAUUGGAAUUGAUGAUCCUAAUAAUAUACCUGGCUAAAAUUUGUGCCAGCAGCCGCGGUUAUACUGAGAGGUAAAUUGAAAGAAAAUUGGUUAAAAAUAGUUAUAUUAUUGAUUGAUAAUUUCUUAAGAGCUUGUACUGAUAAAGGGUGAAAUCAAUUUUUUAGUAUACAAGGUAAUAAAAAUAUCAAUCUGAAUUGAAGCUAUCAAAAUAAAGGAAUGAACCAGGAUUAGAUACCCUGUUACACUUUAUAUAAAUUAUAAAAUUACCUGGGUAUUAAACAGCUAUUGUCUUGAAACUCAAAGGAUUUGGCGGUAACUUAGUCUAUUUAGAGGAACCUGUCCUGUAAUCGAUAGUCCACGAAAAAUCUUACUUUAUCUUGUAGAAAUCAGUUUGUAUACCGUCAUUAUUAGAUAACUUUAAUAAAAUUUAAAGUUGUUGGAAUAGUCUAGCUAAUAUAUUAGAUCAAGGUGCAGCUUAUGAUAAAGAAAGAGAUGGGUUACAUUGUAAUAAAUAUAAACGGAACAACAAAUGAACGUUUGUUGUUGAAGGUGGAUUUAAAAGUAAUAAGAUUUUAAUAAGAUCUUCUGAGUUUAGCUCUAGGUUAUGUACACAUCGCCCGUCGCUCUCGUUAAUUAAAGCGAGAUAAGUCGUAACAUAGUAGGUGUACUGGAAAGUGUACCUAGAAAUU
rnacentral:ncRNA from 1 species